rnacentral:rRNA from 1 species
UACGUAGGGGGCAAGCGUUGUCCGGAAUUAUUGGGCGUAAAGAGCUUGUAGGCGGUUUGUCGCGUCUGCUGUGAAAUUUCGGGGCUCAACCCCGAACUUGCAGUGGGUACGGGCAGACUAGAGUGUGGUAGGGGAGACUGGAAUUCCUGGUGUAGCGGUGAAAUGCGCAGAUAUCAGGAGGAACACCGAUGGGCGAAGGCAGGUCUCUGGGCCAUAACUGACGCUGAGAAGCGAAAGCAUGGGGAGCGAACAGG